rnacentral:lncRNA from 1 species
AUAGAUGAUUACUUUAAAUCUAAAAUUUAUUUUAGAUUUAAAUUUUAGAUCAUAUAGUUGAUAUGUAUUAGUAUGUAUAGAUCUGAAUUUUGUUCUAGAAUAAAUUUUGUCAAGGCGUAACUGAUUGAUAGCGACGUCCGUAACUGCCUGGUAGUGGAUCGUUCGGGGCCACGCAGAGUUUGUUAUAGAGAGUAGUGGUGUCAGGGGGCCGUUCAGAACCACGUAGAGUUUAUUAUGGAGAGUGGAGUGGUGUCUGUUGUUGUGACUUGCCAG